AGUGAACGCUGGCGGUAGGCCUAACACAUGCAAGUCGAACGGCAGCACAGUAAGAGCUUGCUCUUACGGGUGGCGAGUGGCGGACGGGUGAGGAAUACAUCGGAAUCUACUUUUUCGUGGGGGAUAACGUAGGGAAACUUACGCUAAUACCGCAUACGACCUACGGGUGAAAGCAGGGGAUCUUCGGACCUUGCGCGAUUGAAUGAGCCGAUGUCGGAUUAGCUAGUUGGCGGGGUAAAGGCCCACCAAGGCGACGAUCCGUAGCUGGUCUGAGAGGAUGAUCAGCCACACUGGAACUGAGACACGGUCCAGACUCCUACGGGAGGCAGCAGUGGGGAAUAUUGGACAAUGGGCGCAAGCCUGAUCCAGCCAUACUGCGUGGGUGAAGAAGGCCUUCGGGUUGUAAAGCCCUUUUGUUGGGAAAGAAAAGCAGCAGGUUAAUACCCCGCUGUUCUGACGGUACCCAAAGAAUAAGCACCGGCCAACUUCGUG
rnacentral:rRNA from 1 species